rnacentral:rRNA from 1 species
UACGUAGGGCGCAAGCGUUAUCCGGAAUUAUUGGGCGUAAAGAGCUCGUAGGCGGUUUGUCGCGUCUGCCGUGAAAGUCCGGGGCUCAACUCCGGAUCUGCGGUGGGUACGGGCAGACUAGAGUGCAGUAGGGGAGACUGGAAUUCCUGGUGUAGCGGUGAAAUGCGCAGAUAUCAGGAGGAACACCGAUGGCGAAGGCAGGUCGCUGGGCUGUAACUGACGCUGAGGAGCGAAAGCAUGGGGAGCGAACAGG